UUUGCUUCCCCCCUGCAAGUCGCGGGGCAGCAUGGGAGAUGCUUGCAUUUCCUGAUGGCGACCGGCGCACGGGUGAGUAACGCGUAUCCAACCUGCCUGUUACCACGGCACAGCCCGUCGAAAGGCGGAUUAAUGCCGUAUGUGGUCCUAAGCGGGCAUCUAAUUAGGACUAAAGGAUUGGCGGUAACGGAUGGGGAUGCGUCCGAUUAGCUUGACGGCGGGGUAACGGCCCACCGUGGCGACGAUCGGUAGGGGUUCUGAGAGGAAGGUCCCCCACAUUGGAACUGAGACACGGUCCAAACUCCUACGGGAGGCAGCAGUGAGGAAUAUUGGUCAAUGGGCGAGAGCCUGAACCAGCCAAGUAGCGUGAGGGAAGACUGCCCUAUGGGUUGUAAACCUCUUUUGUGUGGGGAUAAAGUGAGG
rnacentral:rRNA from 1 species